AUACGGAGGGUGCGAGCGUUAAUCGGAAUUACUGGGCGUCAAGCGUACGUAGGCGGUUGGUUAAGUUAGAUGUGAAAGCCCCGGGCUUAACCUGGGAACUGCAUUUAAAACUGGCGAACUAGAGUUGAGUAGAGGGGAGUGGAAUUUCAGGUGUAGCGGUGAAAUGCGUAGAGAUCUGAAGGAACACCAGUGGCGAAGGCGACUCCCUGGACUCGAACUGACGCUGAGGUACGAAAGCGUGGGUAGCAAACGGGAUUAGAAACCCCUGUAGUCC
rnacentral:rRNA from 1 species